rnacentral:rRNA from 1 species
UACGGAGGGUGCAAGCGUUGUCCGGAUUUAUUGGGUUUAAAGGGUGCGUAGGUGGCUAUUUAAGUCAGUGGUGAAAGCCUGCAGCUUAACUGUAGGACUGCCAUUGAUACUGAGUAGCUUGAGUACUGAUGAGGUAGGCGGAAUUGAUAGUGUAGCGGUGAAAUGCAUAGAUAUUAUCAAGAACACCGAUUGCGAAGGCAGCUUACUAAGGAGUUACUGACACUGAGGCACGAAAGCGUGGGGAUCAAACAGG